rnacentral:rRNA from 1 species
UGAGGAAUAUUGGUCAAUGGACGGAAGUCUGAACCAGCCAAGUAGCGUGCAGGAUGACGGCCCUAUGGGUUGUAAACUGCUUUUGUAUGGGGAUAAAGUUAGGGACGUGUCCCUAUUUGCAGGUACCAUACGAAUAAGGACCGGCUAAUUCCGUGCCAGCAGCCGCGGUAAUACGGAAGGUCCAGGCGUUAUCCGGAUUUAUUGGGUUUAAAGGGAGCGUAGGCUGGAUAUUAAGUGUGUUGUGAAAUGUAGACGCUCAACGUCUGACUUGCAGCGCAUACUGGUUUCCUUGAGUACGAACAACGUUGGCGGAAUUCGUCGUGUAGCGGAGAAAUGCUUAGAUAUGACGAAGAACUCCGAUUGCGAAGGCAGCUGACGGGAGCGCAACUGACGCUUAAGCUCGAAGGUGCGGGUAUCAAACAGG